AUUGAACGCUGGCGGAAUGCUUUACACAUGCAAGUCGAACGGCAGCACGGACUUCGGUCUGGUGGCGAGUGGCGAACGGGUGAGUAAUGUAUCGGAACGUGCCCAGUCGUGGGGGAUAACGUAGUGAAAAUUACGCUAAUACCGCAUACGAUCUAUGGAUGAAAGCGGGGGUUCGCAAGACCUCGCGCGAUUGGAGCGGCCGAUAUCAGAUUAGGUUGUUGGUGAGGUAAAAGCUCACCAAGCCUGCGAUCUGUAGCUGGUCUGAGAGGACGACCAGCCACACUGGAACUGAGACACGGUCCAGACUCCUACGGGAGGCAGCAGUGGGGAAUUUUGGACAAUGGACGCAAGUCUGAUCCAGCAAUGCCGCGUGCAGGACGAAGGCCCUCGGGUUGUAAACUGCUUUUGUACAGAACGAAAAGGUUUCUACUAAUACUAGGAGCUCAUGACGGUACUGUAAGAAUAAGCACCGGCUAACUACGUGCCAGCCGCCGCCGUAA
rnacentral:rRNA from 1 species